GCCAUCUCAGCUCACGGCAGCCUCAACCUCCCCAGCUCAGGGGGACCUUUUAUGGGUCAGCAGGACACGAGGCUGGGAGAAGUGAUGGUGGACGAGGACGGCUGGGAGCAGGGACCCACCUUCCUGAUGUCAUGACUGUGCAAGCUGGGGCUGUUGGUGCUGUGCAGCCCCCCUCGCCUGGGGGCCAGGGUGUGGGGGACAUGAGAGGCCACCCAGAAUGCAUCCAUUUAAUAGAAGUUUCCAGCGCUGACCGUACAAACCAGUAAGGAACCAGCAGCAAAGGACGCAGGG
rnacentral:lncRNA from 1 species